rnacentral:rRNA from 1 species
AAUUGACGGGGAGCACCACAACGGGUGGAGCUUGCGGUUUAAUUGGAUUCAACGGCCGAAAUCUUACCGGGACCGACAGCAAUAUGAAGGCCAGGCUGAAGACUUUGCCGGAUUAGCUGAGAGGUGGUGCAUGGCCGUCGUCAGUUCGUACUGUGAAGCAUCCUGUUAAGUCAGGCAACGAGCGAGACCCACGCCCACAGUUGCCAGCGUACUCUCUGGAGUGACGGGUACACUGUGGGACCGCCGCUGCUAAAGCGGAGGAAGGAAUGGGCAACGGUAGGUCAGUAUGCCCCGAAUAUCCCGGGCUACACGCGAGCUACAAUGGUUGGUACAAUGGGUAUCUACCCCGAAAGGGGACGGGAAUCUCCUAAAACCAAUCUUAGUUCGGAUUGAGGGCUGCAACUCGCCCUCAUGAAGCUGGAAUCCGUAGUAAUCGCGUUUCAACAGAACGCGGUGAAUACGUCCCUGCUCCUU